GAACGCUGGCGGCAUGCCUUACAACAUAGCAAAGUCGAACGGCAGCACGGAGCAAUCCUGGUGGCGAGUGGCGAACGGGUGAGUAAUAUAUCGGGAACGUGCCCAGUCGUGGGGAUAACGUAGCGAAAGCUACGCUAAUACCGCAUACGAUCUAUGGAUGAAAGCGGGGGAUCGCAAGACCUCGCGCGAUUGGAGCGGCCGAUAUCAGAUUAGGUAGUUGGUGAGGUAAAGGCUCACCAAGCCGACGAUCUGUAGCUGGUCUGAGAGGACGACCAGCCACACUGGGACUGAGACACGGCCCAGACUCCCACGGGAGGCAGCAGUGGGGAAUUUUGGACAAUGGGCGCAAGCCUGAUCCAGCAAUGCCGCGUGCAGGAUGAAGGCCUUCGGGUUGUAAACUGCUUUUGUACGGAACGAAACGGUGAGCUCUAAUACAGUUUGCUAAUGACGGUACCGUAAGAAUAAGCACCGGCUAACUACGUG
rnacentral:rRNA from 1 species